rnacentral:miRNA from 1 species
UUACAACCGUCUUUGAAAUCGCCU